UUUUUUUCAAUUUCUUCACAAUUGACCCAGGGUGCUAUCGGUCAUCUGCUUGGUGCAGCUGGAGCUGUUGAAGCAAUUUUUUCUGUUUUAGCAAUACACCAUGGUGUAGCCCCUUUAUCACUUAAUAUUGCUGAACCAGAUCCCAUGUUUAAUAAUACCUUUAUGCCUUUGACCCUUUCAAAAGAGAUGCCAGUUAGAGCAGCCCUGUCAAACUCUUUUGGUUUUGGAGGAACAAAUGCAUCCCUGCUUUUCAAAUCUGGCCCAUGGCAGUGAUUGAGUACCAGAUUUUCUUCCUUGGAUAACUGAAAGUGUGAACAAUGAGGUUUUCUUGUUCUUCAAGCAUCAUGCACAUCUAGGGUUUCUCACUUACAAGGUAGAGAGUGAGUCCAAGGAUUGAUCAUGACGGUAUAGCUUGAUAAUUUUGUCUCUAAAUGUUAUCUCCGGUUUCUUUUGUAACAAUAGAAAUUUCAUAAUUCAAAUUGUACUUUAUUCAUUCUGAAACUAAAGUGUGGCCAGAGAAAAAUACCCUGGUGAUUAAGUCUCUCUUGGCCAGCAUUUCUUUUGUAAAGCUGUAAAUAAGGUUUUUCUUUAUCCCAACGAUUCCAUGGGUGAUUUGGGUA